GAAGAGCUCCGAAGAUGAAGAUUUUUUGAGGUCCUUGAUCGAUUCGUGAAUUCGAACUCAUAUUGUGUAAUCGGUUCGUUGUUGUUCGCCAUAGUGGAUUGUAAUUCGAUUGAUAAUUUUUUCAGGUUUUUUAUCCUCUAGCAUAUGCUUAGUUCCUGGAGAAGAUAUUGCAUUAGUUCCUGGAGAAGAUGUUGCUACUUGGUCCUCUUCAAAUAAGGAUUAGCUCAUGAUGUUGAUUUCUUAUGAUAACACAUUUUAUGUUUGGAUGAAUACACGUUUAUAACAUGUGCAUGGUAAUACUAAAGCUCAUGAGGAUCUACAUACUACAAGUCUUAUUAAUGCAUGCAUAUAAUUUCAUAUUUUUAGCUUGAUUAUAUUGAACCAGUGAUAUCGAUCGCCCAUUAUUGUAGGUUUUAUCUUGGUUGCAGCAUGACUUGUUAAGAUACAGAAAUCCAAGAUGCAUCUGACUUGUAGUGGUCUCUUAUACCACCAAAGUGUGUUUCCAUGGUCUCCAUGUCUAGUGUUUAUUUGUGUCUAGCAUCGAAGUAUGUCUACAUGGUCUCCAUGUAUGUUAUGAAGUUGUAAGCAGUUCAGCGGAUAUGUACUCAAAUAUGUAAUUAGUGUAGCGAAUAUGUACUCAAAUUUGUAAGUAGUGCAACAAAUAUGUACUCGAAUUUGUA